AACCCUCGUCGUGUGUUAUACGUGUCACACGAUACUGCCGGUAGUCAAGCCGGAGGAAGGUGGGGAGUGAUGUCAAGUCAGCAUGGCCUUUAUAUCCUGGGCUACACACACGCUACAAUGGCAGAUACAAUAGGUUGCGAAACCGCGAGGUGGAGCCAAUCCUCAAAGUCUGUCUCAGUUCAGAUUGUAGGCUGCAACUCGCCUGCAUGAAGUUGGAGUUGCUAGUAAACGCAGGUCAGCUAUACUGCGUUGAAUACGUUCCCGGGUUU
rnacentral:rRNA from 1 species